GCCGAAGUGGCGGAAUGGCAGACGCGGCGGUCUCAAAAACCGCUGGGGCAACCCGUGUGGGUUCGACUCCCACCUUCGGCA
rnacentral:tRNA from 1 species